rnacentral:lncRNA from 1 species
CCCCCCAGCUAUUUGACGAACAGAGGUGCCCAGAUACUGAAUAGAUUAGACUAGCAACCAGCUCCAGCCCUCAGGCCCAAGCCAGGACUCGCUGACCCCACCCCUUUCCCGGGCUUCCCCGUCCCUCCCCCUCCGCCCCGGAUUUCCCUUCUGCUUCUCCCCCAAGACCCUGUAGGCCAGGCCGGAGAUUAAGCCUUGCCGCGGCAAGUCUCUCGGGCUGAACCCGGACCCGCCAUUUUACACACACACACACACACACACACACACACACAUACAAACACGCGCGCGCGCGCACGCACACACGAGGUUUCCGCCGCGACUGCUGCCAAGGACAACAGGCGGCGGCGGCUGCUCGGUUGGGGGUUGGGAAGGGAUGGAGAACGGACCGAGAUCUGGAGGGGCAGAGGCAAUAAGCUUGGCACUAACGCCUAUUUCAGCGUCCGACCCGCCUCAGGGCCAGUCCGUAAACUCCCGGGCAAGUAAGAAACACGGCGCGCCCUCGAGCCUCUCGCUUUUCCGCCCUCCACGCUGGUCUGGCCAGUUAAGCUUAGGGUAUCAAGCCAUCACCGCAGUGGAGAGCGGUGGAUCCGAGGAGCUGACACCACCCGUUACUAAGCCGCCUGGAGCUCCUCGAGCUCACUUCGCUCCGGUCACCGGAAACCCAGAGUCCCAAAUGAGGACUGCCCAGCACCAGCCCGAAUAGAAAACAGCUUCCUCGUUAUUCGGCAAAUGGCCGGCAUGCAGCCAGGCAGAUACAUUAAACUUGGUUCGCUGCCUCUCUAAUAGCUCACCUAUGGUUAGAAAGGUCGUGUCAUUGCAGUGCCGGCCACCUCACUGGGCCUACCCCCCCCCCCCCCGUUGGUGGGAUAGGCUUAGAGUUUGGACAGGCCUACUGGCACGAAGUGAGAGGAACCAGUAAGUUGGGGCGCUCUUUAAAAUAAGCCCCCCCAUCAAGGGGUCCCUUUUUGUUUGUGGCUAUAGCCAAACGGGGUACUGAAGAACCCCUCUUAAGUAGAAGGGGCCUCUUUUUCACAGAAAAAGGACCCCCCUGUUUCCAACCCUCCAGGUGAACUCAACUUUUAUAAUGGGAUGGGGGUGGGGAGGCACCCACAACAUGACACCACCAAUCAUCUCUAAGGUUUGUUUUCAAAGAAAAAUGCCAAGUGGAAAGCCAGGCCCCCAAUUUUACGACUUGCAGCCAAACUGGACAACUUUACUAAUGGAUCCUCCCAACGCGACCACCUCCACACCAAGAAAGAAUUCCUGAUCGUGAAUGUUCCAUUUAUGUUUACUAUAGUGGUGACCAACAUGAAUAGACGCUACUUUUUAAAAACGAAAGUUUUCCACAGUUCUUGCAUCUUCCUUUUGCUAACAGUAAAGCAUAGAUGUCCACUUCAGGAAAGGGGGAUGGGAGUGGAUUCCAAUCAGACAGAAAAGGGAAUUCAGUCCUGCCCCCCAACCUGUCUCCGCCUCCCCUCCUCUCCCCCAACAAGAAUAGUAAGACCCAGGCUGGAACUCUAAGCAUCAAAACAAAGCCGUGGAACAACUGUGAUACAGAUGGGGGUCAAUGAAUUUUUGUAGCUGUUUAGCUCUUAAUUACUCAUGUUUGAUUGGGGGACUAAGACACUACACAGCCAAGGUUAAAAUACCCUGAAUAGCUAAGAGCAGAUGUGAGCGAGUUGGCAGACUAGCAAAUGAGGUCUGCUUCUAAGUCCGAUAACAAGUAACUAAUGCAUUGCAUAUCCUUGAAAGAAAAUUAUUUUUUCUCUAAUUUGCAUUUGCUUCAAAAAAAAAAAGCAAUAAACAUCCCCUCUCACAAACA